UCCAGACUCCUACGGGAGGCAGCAGUGGGGAAUAUUGCACAAUGGGGGAAACCCUGAUGCAGCGACGCCGCGUGAGCGAAGAAGUAUUUCGGUAUGUAAAGCUCUCUCAGCAGGGAAGAAAAAAAUGACGGUACCUGAGUAAGAAGCACCGGCUAAAUACGUGCCAGCAGCCGCGGUAAUACGUAUGGUGCAAGCGUUAUCCGGAUUUACUGGGUGUAAAGGGAGCGUAGGCGGCGCGUUAAGUCUGAUGUGAAAACCCGAGGCUCAACCACGGGAGUGCAUUGGAAACUGGCGGGCUGGAGUGCCGGAGAGGUAAGCGGAAUUCCUAGUGUAGCGGUGAAAUGCGUAGAUAUUAGGAGGAACACCAGUGGCGAAGGCGGCUUACUGGACGGCAACUGACGCUGAGGCUCGAAAGCGUGGGGAGCAAACAGGAUUAGAUACCCUGGUA
rnacentral:rRNA from 1 species